GAAAGAAAGAAAAGAAAAGGAAAAACGAGGAUGAAAAAAGAAGGAAGAUGGCGAGCCUCAGGGCUGAGAACAAUGAAGAGGCGUGAUUUGUUCUAGCGCCUCGUCGCGACGUUUCGGAUUAUGCCCGGAAGUCUUUUCUUUAUCCGUCCCAGUAUCUCCCGUGUGUCCCGUCCGCCACCCUUUCCCUACCUUCCGCACGAAAGUGCGCGCACGACAUGAACGUGAUUCGCGUGGCGCGGGACACGCGUGCGGUUAUCGUAGCCCCGAGCGAAGUCUCCAGCCAAGGUGUACCAAUGGCAUCUGUCUACGGCGCCACGUCGGCGACUGACUGUCAUAACUCGAGGCGACUACGGCGGUAACUGCGACAACCACGUCCGCGAUCACGAGGAGACACGGUAGCGCGUUGCCAUCGGGAACCAGCGUAUUGUGUACGAAGAACCUCCUGUCGCGCCUCUUUCUUUUUUACCCCUUAGACGAGAGCGUCGCGGAAAGCGCGAAUGACAGCAGCGCGCGCGCGCGCGCGCGCGCACGCGAAAGCUACCUCGAGGGAAUAUUAAAAACGUUCUAUGGAACACGGUGCGCGGAUAGGCGGUGGCAGGAGGACGCUGAUGGCAUCCGCCGUCUGCCCUAACACGUGACGAGUAACAAGCCCCACGGAUGUAUGUCAUCACCUCAUUCGGAGAGAUUCAUGCGUAAUAAGAGGGCAAAGUCUAAGAUAACACAAUGUCAUCUAAUGUAUGGAUUUGUGGUGUGAUACGAUCCCGAUCGAAAGAUUCAGAUUUCUCGGCACAACUGAUUCUCGAGGGAUCGACAAGCUGAUCUUCGAGAAAGCCCGUUAUGGUUGCGGGGACAGAGCCACGACACGUGUCGCGACGCGUUCGACAUCGACCGGAUGUUCGUUGUCGAAUGGCCGGCGAUGGCGAGAAAACGUUGAUUUAAUUUGUCGAACUUCAAAUAUCAUCAGAAUGUAAUUAUCCAUAAUGAUAUAUCGAUAUAAAACCACACAAUUUGUAUUUGAAACGUGUAUAUUUGAAACUUCUUUGAAUAAUAAAUAUUAAUAAGCACGUGUGUGUAUUACCUCUGUUAUGAGAAAUAAAGGAUUGAUAUAAUACACAACUAA